GUGCUCCCUUUGGCAGGACAUAUACUAAAAUUAGAACUCUACAGAGAAGAUUAGCAUGGCCCCUGUGCAAGGAUGACAUGCAAAUUAGUGAAGUGUUCCAUAUUUUA